rnacentral:snRNA from 1 species
AAAGAUUUUUAAACGGUUUAAAA